rnacentral:rRNA from 1 species
UAAUAGUGUAUAUUAAAGUUGUUGCAGUUAAAAAGCUCGUAGUUGAAUGUUGGUGUCGAACGAGCGGUCAGCUUCGGCUGUACUGCUCUCUCGACUCCUUCCUUCUGUGGACUACGUCGCACUUUACUGUGUGGCGCUAGGACGCAGAUCGUUUACUUUGAAAAAAUUAGAGUGUUCAAAGCAGGCCGUACGCUUGAAUACAUUAGCAUGGAAUAAUGGAAUAGGACGUCGGGCCUAUUUUGUUGGUUCUAGGACCGUCGUAAUGAUUAAUAGGGACAGUUGGGGCCGUUUAUAUUCCGUAGUCAGAGGUGAAAUUCUUGGAUUUACGGAAGAUAAACUACUGCGAAAGCAUUCGGCAAGGAUGUUUUCGUUAA